GACAGAGGGUGCAAACGUUGUUCGGAAUCACUGGGCGUAAAGGGUGCGUAGGCGGGUCUUUAAGUCAGGGGUGAAAUCCUGGAGCUCAACUCCAGAACUGCCUUUGAUACUGGCGAUCUCGAGUUCGGGAGAGGUGAGUGGAACUGCGAGUGUAGAGGUGAAAUUCGUAGAUAUUCGCAAGAACACCAGUGGCGAAGGCGGCUCACUGGCCCGAUACUGACGCUGAGGUGCGAAAGCGUGGGGAGCAAACAGG
rnacentral:rRNA from 1 species